UACGGAGGGUGCGAGCGUUGUCCGGAAUCACUGGGCGUAAAGGGCGCGUAGGCGGCCUGAUAAGUAGGGGGUGAAAUCUUGCGGCUUAACCGCAAGGCUGCCUUCUAAACUGUCAGGCUCGAGCACAGUAGAGGCAGGUGGAAUUCCCGGUGUAGCGGUGGAAUGCGUAGAGAUCGGGAAGAACAUCAGUGGCGAAGGCGGCCUUCUGGUCCAGUACUGACACUCAAGUGCGAAAGCGUGGGGAGCAAACAGG
rnacentral:rRNA from 1 species